UCUCUAAACCCACCACAAACAUAACUAAUUAACAUAUUUAAAGACUCAUGAAACAUAUAAUUACAACAAUGCAUUUAUAUUCAUCACCGAACUAUACUAGUCAAACAUUCAUCUCAUAUUCCUAUUUGUGAUACAAAUCUCACCCGAAACAUGUUACCUGAAUAGCGAAUAAUUGAAAGAUGAGAUAUCGACUUUUUCGUUGAUAUCUUUUUGACCUUUUUAUUUAUAUCCUUUUCAACCUUCUUCAAUAGAUCAUUUAUACAUCAUCAACAUGGAUCAACCUGUUAUUGGCACCCGAUGCCCGACGGAUAAAUCGUAACAAAGUUUUGCGCCCAGCCCUAGUCGGAUAAACCAAUGAUAGGUGUGCCCUGCACUAGUCGAAUAGAUCAACAAUGUUUUGCACCCAGCGCUAGUCAGAUAAACCGAUGAUAUCAAAUGUGUGCCCAACACUAGUUAGAUAAACAAACAAUCAGUUGCGCCCAAUGCUAGUCGGAUAAACCGAUGAUAUCAAAUGUGUGCCCAGCACUAGUCGAAUAAACCGAUAAUGAUUUGCGCCCAGCACUAGCCGGAUAAACCGACAAAUACAUACAUAAUUACAUAAUUCCACAAUUCUUCAAUUCAUAAUUUAAAUCCUUUACAUUAAUCUUCUAUAUUAAAUUUCUAUAACCCACUCCAUAACCAUCUUCAUAUAUAUAUAUUUCCAUAACAUUACAUUUAAAAUACUAAUCAUUUGAAUACAUAUAAUUGACUAUCAAAUUAACUAAUAAUCAAACUAAUUGCAUAAAUAAAGUUCGAGUGUAAGGACUACGAACUUACCUCAACUACAACCGUUGUAAAAACUUAAUCGAGAACUAAUCCAAAACUUUAGCUUUUUCACGAUUUAAGUCCGGUUGUUGUAUAUCUUAGUCUAAAUAGUAAUUUAAUUCAAUUAAACAAUUCAAAUAAAUUAAAAUAACUAAUUCAAGCCUAUAAUCCAUUUUAAGGUGAAUUUACGGAAUUACCACUAACAUUUUAACUUUUGUGCAAUUUAGUCUCUAAUCCCAAAACUUGCAAAUUCACUAUUUUAAACUAAAAAUCAUGCUAGCUGAUUUUUAAUAGAUUCACAAACAGCCCAUUUAUUCUUCCAUUUCACAUAAUUAUCAUUAAAUUUUACUAUUUUUUUAAAAUAAAUCCUUAAACACCAAUUCAUCAAAAAUCACUUAACAAAAUAAGUUUAUUCAACAACCAAGCUUACUAUUAUAUCAACCAAAUUCAAAACACAACCAAACUCAUUCUUGGUGAGUCCCUAAACUUUUAACAGUUUUACAAAUUGACCUCCGAGUUAGUUAAACUAAGCUAAAACGAUCUCAAAAACAUAAAAUUCAUUAAAAACAUGGUCAAAAUCACUUACCAUGCAUGAACAAAUGUUGACCGAAGCUCUCUAAUUCUCUAAUGAAGGGUUCU
rnacentral:lncRNA from 1 species